CCCCCCCUUCCUUACCCCUCCCCCAAAAGGAAAAACCUGAAAAUGAUGGAACUUGUGUCAUAACUUUGUUUCAUGGUUGGUAAUUUAUCAAAGGUGUGUUCCCUUUACUGUCUUUUUUACUAAUUGCUUAAAUGUGCAGAUGAAUGAAGCUGCAAUGAUUGCACUUGAAGAUAAAUUGAUAGCCAUGGAUACAAGUUGUGGUGACUCAUCACCGAUUAUUACGGAGUCGCAUUUUAAACGCGCUUUGGAGAAAAUUUCUCCUUCUGUCUCCGACAAGCAAAUAGAAUACUAUCAGGUUUUAUCAAAAACCUUCAAAGCAGCAUGAAAGUCUUAGGGGGGUGGUCAUACCUCCACCUCUAGCAUGGAGAAAGUUGCACGCGAAAUAUAUUGGAUAUUGCCGUUUUCUUUUUGGUCUUGUUAAUUUCCUUGAGCUAUAGUGCGAGCACAAACAGAGUGGAGAGGAAAAGCAGAAAAAACUUUGAUCUUUUCCUCUUUCGUUUCUUCUUUUUUUCCCCCCUCCUUUUUUGUAGGGUUCAAUGGAGUAAUGUAAAAGAGGAACUUUCUUUGUGGUUAGUUCCUUUUUCUUUUAUUAUUUUAGCAAUAUAAUUCUUUGCA